rnacentral:lncRNA from 1 species
AAUUGUCUGUAUCAGACAUCAUGGGAGCAGAUCCAGGGCGACAUCAAAGGGAAGCAUGAGUCUCCAGGACCAGAGGGGCUUGGAUGCAGAUGAUCAUCAUCUGGGCACUGCUGGAUACUGAGCUCUCUGACUGCCACCCCUGCCUGCCUGCCCGGCCCUGCACAACAUGCAGCCCUCCGGCCUCGAGGGUCCCGGCACGUUUGGUCGGUGGCCUCUGCUGAGUCUGCUGCUCCUGCUGCUGCUGCUCCAGCCUGUAACCUGUGCCUACACCACGCCAGGCCCCCCCAGAGCCCUCACCACGCUGGGCGCCCCCAGAGCCCACACCAUGCCGGGCACCUACGCUCCCUCGACCACACUCAGUAGUCCCAGCACCCAGGGCCUGCAAGAGCAGGCACGGGCCCUGAUGCGGGACUUCCCGCUCGUGGACGGGUGCGUAAUUGCUGCAAGGGGGCGAUGGGAGCUGAGCACACUCCUGGGCAAGGGAGGGUCCCAGAGUAUGCAGGGCUGUGGAGGAGGCUCCCUCACACCACCCCUGGAUGCCCUCUCUCCCGUCAUGCAUGGG